GAGCGGAAGAGAGAGAAAGAGAGGUGGUAAAUGUAAGGCCCAAGGUUUCGUGGAUUCAUUCCCAAAUAAACCUUUCCCAGCUCCAACUUGUUCGACAAUACACCCCCCAAGUAAUAGAGAGAAAGAAGAGAGAUAAAAGUAGAGAGAGAAAGCCAUAAAUCUCUAACCCUCCUCGUAUUUCCAAGCUCCGAAAGUCCCAGCCAUGUCGACGACCGCCAACGCGGCGGCCCCCCCCUCCCUAUCCUUCUGGUGCCACCAAUGCUCCCGCACGGUCUAUCUCUCUCCUCCCCCUUCUGGCUCUGCCGAUCUUGUUUGCCCUAACUGUCAUGGCGGCUUCUUGGAAGAGCUCGAAUCCCCUCCUCCUUCUAUCCCUAACCCCUUCCUCAACUUCUUUGAGCCAUUUUCUGGUCACUUUUCCGGUCGCGAGCGCAUUUUUGCCCCCCCUUCUCGGCCCAUCAGCAACCCGGAUGACGUCUUUGCCGUCCACGACCAGAGCGAUCCCAUGGUCUUCAACCCUCUAAUCUUCCUUCAAGAUUACCUCCAAACCCUUGUGCAGGGGAGGCCGAACUUCCAAGUUGUCUUUGAGACCUCGGAUAAUGCGGCCCCUGCCGGUUUUCGGCUAAAUGACUAUUUUGUUGGCCCCGGCCUAGAGCAGCUGAUCCAGCACCUCGCUGAGAACGAUCCCAACCGCUACGGGACGCCCCCAGCAUCAGAAUCAGCCAUCGAUUCGCUCCCAGAAGUUAGGGUUUCCUCUGAGCUCUUGAAUUCUGAUACGUCCCAGUGUGCGGUAUGCAAGGAUGCAUUUGAGGAGGGUUCGUUUGCCAAGCAGUUGCCUUGCAAACACAUAUACCACGGCGAUUGUAUUUUGCCAUGGCUCGAGCUUCAUAACUCUUGCCCGGUUUGCAGGUACGAGCUGCCAACAGAUGACCAGGACUAUGAACGCCGAAAUCAGGGUGAGGGGCGUCCGAAUCAGGGUGAGGGGCGCCGGAAUCCGGCAGGGCAGCCAGAAUCAGGCGGAGAUUCUGGAGAAGGGUCAGCCGGCGAUGGUGGUAGUGGCGGCCAGCAGGGCCAGGGGAGGAGGUUUAGGAUCUCGAUCCCUUGGCGUUUGAAUGCUUUGGUGGCUGGAGGUGGGAGCGAAAAUAGUGGUGGUGAGAGUGGUAGGGCGGGUGAGGGGGGUGGUGAGAAUAGCGGGGGCCAGGGCGAAAGAGGUGGGGUUGUGGGUGGGAGUGGGAGUGGGAGUGGAGGGGACAAUAGAGGGGAUGGGGCUGGUGAUAGCCGGUUGAGGCAGGAAGAUCUUGACUGAGGGCAAAUUAUGAGGGACCUAUUCUUUGAUAGUUAUAUAUUGGAGCGGCUGGUGGGAAUCAGAUUGAGUUUCGUUGGAAGUGGUCCAUUCAAAAGAAAAUAUUGCAGAAUACCAAUUGGUGAUAUUGGGAAGUUAAAUACCAUAGGUGCCUUUACUGAGAAAACUGUGUUGUGGCUUCUAAAAUGUUGAUUGGGGGGGGAGUAUUUGUGGUGGGCCCUCUUUGCAGUCUCAUUGCAUCGGAUUCUGAUUCCUUGGAGUAUAGGAACACAACGAAGAGAUGUAGGUUCAUCCUUCCUCAAUGUCCAAAUGUUGACAGUAUGGUGCAUAGCUGCUUUGGAGCUAAUUCCAUUUUCCAGCUACAAUUUACAAAGAAAUUGGCAGCUCUAGGAGGACUCGAGCAUAGUGUCUUGUGGGUCGGCUCAACUUUAUUGAGUUGAUAGUAUAUGAUAUCUUGGAGUGAGUACUCUUGGCAUAAUGCAUCACAUUGUUUUUAAACAAGUGGUCUUUCCUGCUGUUUGCUGUUUUCCUUCUGGUAUGCAAAGUUGUGGAUUUUUCGUAUUCCAUAUUUUGCACUAAUGCAUUAUUUUUACAAAAGAAAGCAACACAAUUGUAGGAAAUGUUUUGAUUCUGCAAACUGAGUUAUUUAAUGUACUCAUACUUGCAUACUGCCCCACAUAUCCUUGGAUGUGAUAAUUGUUCUCUAGCCAAGUAUUGCUUUUGGGACUUUAUUUGGUGAUUUUCCAUCUCUUGAGCCUCAAGUGACUUGUAUUCACUGUUGGAAUAAUGCUAUAGAAGUUAGUUCUUGAA